rnacentral:rRNA from 1 species
GGAAGCUGAGUUGAUCUUGGCUAGGAGUCGUACAGGGUAAGUUUGGUCCUGGGUGGGAAUCCUAAAAAGGUAAAAGUUUACCUGCCCCUGACUCUGGGAUAACAGGCGGAAACGGUUGCUAAUACCGGAUAUGCAUCAUGGCCGCAUGGUCUGUGGUGGGAAAGAUUUUUCGGUUGGGGAUGGGCUCGCGGCCUAUCAGCUUGUUGGUGAGGUAGUGGCUCACCAAGGCGUCGACGGGUAGCCGGCCUGAGAGGGUGACCGGCCACACUGGGACUGAGACACGGCCCAGACUCCUACGGGAGGCAGCAGUGGGGAAUAUUGCACAAUGGGCGGAAGCCUGAUGCAGCAACGCCGCGUGAGGGAUGACGGCCUUCGGGUUGUAAACCUCUUUUAGCAGGGAAGAAGCGUAAGUGACGGUACUGCAGAAAAAGCGCCGGCUAACUACGUGCCAGCAGCCGCGGUAAUACGUAGGGCGCAAGCGUUAUCCGGAAUUAUUGGGCGUAAAGAGCUCGUAGGCGGUUUGUCGCGUCUGCUGUGAAAACCCGAGGCUCAACCUCGGGCCUGCAGUGGGUACGGGCAGACUAGAGUGCGGUAGGGGAGAUUGGAAUUCCUGGUGUAGCGGUGGAAUGCGCAGAUAUCAGGAGGAACACCGAUGGCGAAGGCAGAUCUCUGGGCCGUUACUGACGCUGAGGAGCGAAAGGGUGGGGAGCAAACAGGCUUAGAUACCCUGGUAGUCCACCCCGUAAACGUUGGGAACUAGUUGUGGGGGCCUUUCCACGGUCUCCGUGACGCAGCUAACGCAUUAAGUUCCCCGCCUGGGGAGUACGGCCGCAAGGCUAAAACUCAAAGGAAUUGACGGGGACCCGCACAAGCGGCGGAGCAUGCGGAUUAAUUCGAUGCAACGCGAAGAACCUUACCAAGGCUUGACAUACACCGGAAACGUCUGGAAACAGUCGCCCCUUUUUGGUCGGUGUACAGGUGGUGCAUGGUUGUCGUCAGCUCGUGUCGUGAGAUGUUGGGUUAAGUCCCGCAACGAGCGCAACCCUCGUUCUAUGUUGCCAGCACGUUAUGGUGGGAACUCAUGGGAUACUGCCGGGGUCAACUCGGAGGAAGGUGGGGAUGACGUCAAAUCAUCAUGCCCCUUAUGUCUUGGGCUUCACGCAUGCUACAAUGGCCGGUACAAAGGGCUGCAAUACCGUGAGGUGGAGCGAAUCCCAAAAAGCCGGUCCCAGUUCGGAUUGAGGUCUGCAACUCGACCUCAUGAAGUCGGAGUCGCUAGUAAUCGCAGAUCAGCAUUGAUGCGGUG